rnacentral:rRNA from 1 species
GGGCCCGCACAAGCGGUGGAGCAUGUGGUUUAAUUCGAUGAUACGCGAGGAACCUUACCAGGGCUUAAAUGUAGAUUGACAGGUUUAGAGAUAGACUUUUCUUCGGACAAUUUACAAGGUGCUGCAUGGUUGUCGUCAGCUCGUGCCGUGAGGUGUCAGGUUAAGUCCUAUAACGAGCGCAACCCCUGUUGUUAGUUGCCAGCGAUUCAAGUCGGGAACUCUAACAAGACUGCCGGUGCAAACCGUGAGGAAGGUGGGGAUGACGUCAAAUCAUCACGGCCCUUACGUCCUGGGCUACACACGUGCUACAAUGGUAGGGACAGAGAGCAGCCACUUCGCGAGAAGGAGCGAAUCUAUAAAAGAUACCUCAGUUCGGAUUGCACUCUGCAACUCGAGUGCAUG